UAUGAAGGGGGCUAGCGUUGUUCGGAAUUACUGGGCGUAAAGCGUGCGCAGGCGGCUUCUCAAGUCAGGGGUGAAAGCCCAGAGCUCAACUCUGGAAUUGCCUUUGAGACUGAGUGGCUUGAGUACGAGAGAGGUGAGUGGAAUUCCCAGUGUAGAGGUGAAAUUCGUAGAUAUUGGGAAGAACACCGGUGGCGAAGGCGGCUCACUGGCUCGUAACUGACGCUCAUGCACGACAGCGUGGGGAUCAAACAGG
rnacentral:rRNA from 1 species